AACGAACGCUGGCGGCAGGCUUAACACAUGCAAGUCGAACGCAUCCUUCGGGGUGAGUGGCAGACGGGAGAGUAACGCGUGGGAACGUGCCCUUCAGUUCGGGAUAACCCAGGGAAACUUGGGCUAAUACCGGAUACGUGCGAGAGCAGAAAGAUUUAUCGCUGAAGGAUCGGCCCGCGUCUGAUUAGCUAGUUGGUGGAGUAAUGGUCCACCAAGGCGACGAUCAGUAGCUGGUCUGAGAGGAUGAACAGCCACAUUGGGACUGAGACACGGCCCAAACUCCUACGGGAGGCAGCAGUGGGGAAUAUUGGACAAUGGGCGCAAGCCUGAACCAGCCAUGCCGCGUGAGUGAUGAAGGCCUUAGGGUUGUAAAGCUCUUUCGUCCGGGACGAUAAUGACGGUACCGGAAGGAGAAGCCCCGGCUAACUUCGUGCCAGCCGCCGCGGUAA
rnacentral:rRNA from 1 species